rnacentral:rRNA from 1 species
UGAAUACGAGAUGCUACGGCGUCGAAGCAGUCUAUGUCAUACUUCCAAGAAAAGCUCGCACUGUCAUAAACAAAUAAUGCCUGUACCAUAACCGACACAGGUGGGUAGGUAGAGUAUACUAAGGGGCGCGAGAUAACUCUCUCUAAGGAACUCGGCAAAAUGACUCCGUAACUUCGGGAGAAGGAGUGCCUUAUUUAUAAGGUUGCAAUAACAAGAUCCAAGCAACUGUUUAUCAAAAACACAGGUCUCCGCUAAGUCGUAAGACGAUGUAUGGGGGCUGACGCCUGCCCAGUGCCAGAAGGUUAAAGAAGUUGGUUAGCAUUCGCGAAGCUGAUAACUGAAGCCCUGGUGAACGGCGGCCGUAACAAUAACGGUCCUAAGGUAGCGAAAUUCCUUGUCGGGUAAGUUCCGACCCGCACGAAAGGCGUAAUGAUUUGGAUACUGUCUCGGAGAGGGGCUCGGUGAAAUAGACUUGUCUGUGAAGAUGCGGACUACCUGCACCAGGACAGAAAGACCCUAUGAAGCUUUACUGUAACUUGAGAUUGAAAUUGGACUUUACUUGCGCAGUAUAGGUGGGAGGCGCUGAUAAUAUUCUUGCGGGAUUAUUUGAGCCAUCAGUGAGAUACCACUCUUGUAAUGUUAGAUUUCUAACUUUGUAUCAUUAUCUGGUCAAAGGACAGUUUCAGGCGGGCAGUUUGACUGGGGCGGUCGCCUCCUAAACGGUAACGGAGGCGCACAAAGGUUUCCUCUGAACGGGUAGAAAUCGUAUCUAGAGUGUAAAGGCAUAAGGAAGCUUGACUGUGAGACCUACAAGUCGAGCAGGGACGAAAGUCGGUCUUAGUGAUCUGACGGUGCUGAGUGGAAAGGCCGUCACUCAACGGAUAAAAGUUACUCUAAGGAUAACAGGCUGAUCUCCCCCAAGAGUUCACAUCGACGGGGAGGUUUGGCACCUCGAUGUCGGCUCAUCGCAUCCUGGGGCGGUAGUACGUCCCAAGGGUUGGGCUGUUCGCCCAUGAAAGCGGUACGCGAGCUGGGUUCAGAACGUCGUGAGACAGUUCGGUCCAUAUCCGGUGUAGGCGUUAGAAUAUUGAGAGGAGCCUUCUUUAGUACGAGAGGACCGAGAAGGACAUACCUCUGGUGUACCAGUUAUCGUGCCAACGGUAAACGCUGGGUAGCUAUGUAUGGAGUGGAUAACCGCUGAAAGCAUCUAAGUGGGAAGCCCACCUCAAGAUAAG